UAGUCACGCUGUAAACGAUGUCGAUUUGGAGUUUGUUGCCUAGAGUGAUGGGCUCCGAAGCUAACGCGAUAAAUCGACCGCCUGGGGAGUACGGCCGCAAGGUUAAAACUCAAAUGAAUUGACGGGGGCCCGCACAAGCGGUGGAGCAUGUGGUUUAAUUCGAUGCAACGCGAAGAACCUUACCUGGUCUUGACAUCCAUAGAAUUCUGCAGAGAUGUGGGAGUGCCUUCGGGAACUAUGAGACAGGUGCUGCAUGGCUGUCGUCAGCUCGUGUUGUGAAAUGUUGGGUUAAGUCCCGCAACGAGCGCAACCCUUAUUCUUUGUUGCCAGCGAUUUGGUCGGGAACUCAAAGGAGACUGCCGUUGAUAAAGCGGAGGAAGGUGGGGACGACGUCAAGUCAUCAUGGCCCUUACGACCAGGGCUACACACGUGCUACAAUGGCGUAUACAAAGGGAAGCGAAGGUGCGAGCUGGAGCGGAUCUCAUAAAGUACGUCUAAGUUCGGAUUGGAGUCUGCAACUCGACUCCAUGAAGUCGGAAUCGCUAGUAAUCGUAGAUCAGAAUGCUACGGUGAAUACGUUCCCGGGCCUUGUACACACCGCCCGUCACACCAUGGGAGUGGGUUGCACCAGAAGUAGAUAGCUUAACCGCGAGGGGGGCGUUUACCACGGUGUGAUUCAUGACUGGGGUGAAGUCGUAACAAGGUAACCA
rnacentral:rRNA from 1 species